rnacentral:rRNA from 1 species
AGCAGUCGCCGCGGGAAUACGUAGGUGGCAAGCGUUGUCCGGAAUUAUUGGGCGUAAAGGGCUCGCAGGCGGUUUCUUAAGUCUGAUGUGAAAGCCCCCGGCUCAACCGGGGAGGGUCAUUGGAAACUGGGAAACUUGAGUGCAGAAGAGGAGAGUGGAAUUCCACGUGUAGCGGUGAAAUGCGUAGAGAUGUGGAGGGACACCAGUGGCGAAGGCGACUCUCUGGUCUGUAACUGACGCUGAGGAGCGAAAGCGUGGGGGGCGAACAGGAUUAGAUACCCCCGUAGUCCCUGUCUCUUAUAA